CUUCCCUCUGCUUCUGAUCCUGACAUUUGUCCUUUUGCUGGUUUUAAAAUCCAAAUCAAGGAUCAAGCAAGUGGAUGGAACCAAUGGAAACGUGUUGAACUCUGCUGACAGUGAUGAGGAGACGAGAAUCAACGAUGUCUACGAGUUUCAAGAGGAUAUUUACAUAAACUCGGCCACUCCAAACACAUUGAAUCAUGUUGACAAUGAUAUCUAUGACAUCAUC